GGGCGUCUUUAUUUUUUUAAGGCCCCAAAGAGUCCGAUGUUUACAAGACCAGAAAUGCCAUGGCCGCGUCCUGGCAGAGAAAAGGCCGAAAUGGAGGACCGGCGCCUUCCUUAUAAGCUCGUUGGGGCCUGAGCCAGCACCGACCUGGUAGAAAAAGCAACCACGAAACUAGAGAGAGAGCCAGAGGAGGGAAGAGAGCACCAGACGAAGGUGAAAGCGAACCACGCAGAGAAAUGCAGGCAAGGGAGCAAGGCGGCAGUUCCCGGAACAAACGUGGCAGAGGGCAAGACAGGCACUCACAGACAGAGGAGUGAUUAUGCAGUGGGACCCUGCUGCAAACGGGACUUUGCACUCUAAAUAUAGACCCCAGCUUGGGACAAAAGUUGCAGUAGAAACAUAGACAUAGGAGAACACUUAAAUAAGUGAUGCAUGUAGACAUAGAAGGGGUAUUUAAAAGACAGAAAUAAUAGAAGUACAGAAGAACAGAAAAAAGACUCAGCAGAUGGAGAUUACCAUUCCCAAUGCCUGAACUUCCUCCUGCUAUUAAGAUUGCUAGAGAAUUGUGUCUUAAACAGUUCAUG